rnacentral:tRNA from 2 species
GCUCGUGUAGCUCAGUGGUAGAGCACUCCCUUGGUAAGGGAGAGGUCGACGGUUCAACCCCGUCCACGAGCUCCA